rnacentral:rRNA from 1 species
AACAUUCUGGAAAGUAUAGCCAUAGAGGGUGAUAGUCCCGUAUGCGAAAAACAAAGCUUAGCUAGCAGUAUCCUGAGUAGGGCGGGACACGAGAAAUCCUGUCUGAAUCCGGGUCGACCACGAUCCAACCCUAAAUACUAAUACCAGAUCGAUAGUGCACAAGUACCGUGAGGGAAAGGUGAAAAGAACUGAGGUGAUCAGAGUGAAAUAGAACCUGAAACCAUUUGCUUACAAUCAUUCAGAGCACUAUGUAGCAAUACAGUGUGAUGGACUGCCUUUUGCAUAAUGAGCCUGCGAGUUGUGGUGUCUGGCAAGGUUAAGCAAACGCGAAGCCGUAGCGAAAGCGAGUCUGAAUAGGGCGCUUAGUCAGAUGCUGCAGACCCGAAACGAAGUGAUCUAUCCAUGAGCAAGUUGAAGCUAGUGUAAGAACUAGUGGAGGACUGAACCCAUAGGCGUUGAAAAGCCCCGGGAUGACUUGUGGAUAGGGGUGAAAGGCCAAUCAAACUUCGUGAUAGCUGGUUCUCUCCGAAAUAUAUUUAGGUAUAGCGUUGUGUCGUAAUAUAAGGGGGUAGAGCACUGAAUGGGCUAGGGCAUACACCAAUGUACCAAACCCUAUCAAACUCCGAAUACCUUAUAUGUAAUCACAGCAGUCAGGCGGCGAGUGAUAAAAUCCGUCGUCAAGAGGGAAACAACCCAGACUACCAGCUAAGGUCCCUAAGUCUUACUUAAGUGGAAAACGAUGUGAAGUUACUUAAACAACCAGGAGGUUGGCUUAGAAGCAGCCAUCCUUUAAAGAAAGCGUAAUAGCUCACUGGUCUAGUGAUUUUGCGCGGAAAAUAUAACGGGGCUAAAGU